UGAACUGCCCUUGGCUAUCUGUGCGAUAACCACUCACAACCUAGAAACUGGAAUCACCCUCCCAAGCUAAACCCUGACACUCGUCCCUCUCUUUAAUCAAAUCUAGCAGCUUUUGCCAUUCAUUUUUAUCAACAUCAUAGACCUUCGCCAAUUGCAAUGUGUUUUUCUGACCGUCGUGGCCUCCGACAACAUAAACCUUGGAAGGUCCAACCACAGCACAGGCGAAGAAAGAGCGAGAAACAGACAUUGGAGCCCCACGUCUCCACCUACAGCCACCAGCUCCGAUGAGAUCCACGAUGUACACAUCCAGGACAGGUUCUAGAGCGGUGGGAUCCCAACCACCCAAAAGGAGUACUUUGCCUGAUGACUGAAGUGCCAAACACUGGCAGAACAUGAGGAUUCCACCCUGAGGCCUUGUCCUUUGCCAAGUAUCGUGGGACGUGUUAUAGAUGCUUAGCCCAAAAAGAGGUGGGCUCUGGAUCUGCUUGUCUUCCUUAUUAGUUACGGCAGCAGCGACGGUGGUAGUAGGGGUGGCACUACUGAGGGAGUCAGUGGAAUCCGACUGUGAUAGAGGUCGGACAAGGCAAACAAGAUUCUCUAGAGUGCCAGAUUUGUGCCUUUCUUAAUAAAAAGAAGGGUGGGAAAUAAAGUUUUGCCAAGCAUGGCAAACUGAUUUCAUAUUAGA
rnacentral:misc_RNA from 1 species